GAUGAACGCUGGCGGCGUGCCUAAUACAUGCAAGUCGAGCGAACGGACGAGAAGCUUGCUUUUCUGAUGUUAGCGGCGGACGGGUGAGUAACACGUGGAUAACCUACCUAUAAGACUGGGAUAACUUCGGGAAACCGGAGCUAAUACCGGAUAAUAUUUUGAACCGCAUGGUUCAAAAGUGAAAGACGGUCUUGCUGUCACUUAUAGAUGUAUCCGCGCUGCAUUAGCUAGUUGGUAAGGUAACGGCUUACCAAGGCAACGAUGCAUAGCCGACCUGAGAGGGUGAUCGGCCAAACGGGAACUGAGACACGGUCCAGAAUCCUACGGGAGGCAGCAGUAGGGAAUCUUCCGCAAUGGGCGAAAGCCUGACGGAGCAACGCCGCGUGAGUGAUGAAGGUCUUCGGAUCGUAAAACUCUGUUAUUAGGGAAGAACAUAUGUGUAAGUAACUGUGCACAUCUUGACGGUACCUAAUCAGAAAGCCACGGCUAACUACGUG
rnacentral:rRNA from 1 species